AGGCACGUAGCUCAGGGGCUAGAGCACUACCCUGACACGGUAGGGGUCGUGGGUUCAAUUCCCUCCGUGCCUA
rnacentral:tRNA from 1 species